rnacentral:rRNA from 1 species
CAGCACCUCAAGUGGUCAGGAUGAUUAUUGGGCUUAAAGCGUCCGUAGCCGGCGCUGUAAGUUUUCGGUUAAAUCUGUACGCUCAACGUACAGGCUGCCGGGAAUACUGCAGAGCUAGGGAGUGGGAGAGGUAGACGGUACUCGGUAGGAAGGGGUAAAAUCCUUUGAUCUAUUGAUGACCACCUGUGGCGAAGGCGGUCUACCAGAACACGUCCGACGGUGAGGGAUGAAAGCUGGGGGAGCAAACCGGAUUAGAUACCCGAGUAGUCC